UCCCUUGGUGAUGAAGAACUCGUUGGGUAUAUCCUGACGGGCUUUGAUGUUGAAUACAACCCACUCGUGACGGCGGUCAUCUCCAAGA
rnacentral:snoRNA from 1 species